CGGGAGGCAGCAGUGGGGAAUAUUGCACAAUGGGCGCAAGCCUGAUGCAGCCAUGCCGCGUGUGUGAAGAAGGCCUUCGGGUUGUAAAGCACUUUCAGUCGUGAGGAAGGUGGUGUAGUUAAUAGCUGCAUUAUUUGACGUUAGCGACAGAAGAAGCACCGGCUAACUCCGUGCCAGCAGCCGCGGUAAUACGGAGGGUGC
rnacentral:rRNA from 1 species